rnacentral:rRNA from 1 species
UUGAAAGGCGGCUUCGGCUGUCACUUAUGGAUGGACCCGCGUCGCAUUAGCUAGUUGGUGAGGUAACGGCUCACCAAGGCAACGAUGCGUAGCCNACCUGAGAGGGUGAUCGGNCACACUGUNACUGAGCCAGGUCCAACUCUCAUACGGGAGGCAGCAGUAGGGAAUCUUCCGCAAUGGACGAAAGUCUGACGGAGCAACGCNGCGUGAGUGAUGAAGGCUUUCGGGUCGNAAAACUCUGUUGUUAGGGAAGAACANGUGCUAGUUGAAUAAGCUGNCACCUUGACGGUACCUAANCAGAAAGCCACGGCUAACUACGUGCCAGCNGCCGCGGUAAUACGUAGGUGGCAAGCGUUAUCCGGAAUUAUUGGGCGUANAGCGCGCGCAGGUGGUUUCUUAAGUCUGAUGUGAAAGCCCACGGCUNANCCGUGGAGNGUCAUUGGNAAACUGGGAGACUUGAGUGCAGAAGAGGAAAAGUGGAAUUCCAUGUGUAGCGGUGAAAUGCGUAGAGAUAUGGAGGAACACCAGUGGCGAAGGCGACUUUCUGGUCUGUAACUGACACUGAGGCGCGAAAGCGUGNGGGAGCAAACAGGAUUAGAUANCCUGGUAGUCCACGCCGUAANCGAUGAGUGCUAAGUGUUAGAGGGUUUCCGCNCUUUAGUGCUGAAGUUNACGCAUUAAGCACUCCGCCUGGGGAGUACGGCCGCAAGGCUGAAACUCANAGGAAUUGACGGGGGCCCGCACAAGCGGUGGAGCAUGUGGUUUAAUUCGAAGCAACGCGAAGAACCUUACCAGGUCUUGACAUCCUCUGAAAACCCUAGAGAUAGGGCUUCUCCUUCGGGAGCAGAGUGACAGGUGGUGCAUGGUUGUCGUCAGCUCGUGUCGUGAGAUGUUGGGUUAAGUCCCGCAACGAGCGCAACCCUUGAUCUUAGUUGCCAUCAUUAAGUUGGGCACUCUAAGGUGACUGCCGGUGACAAACCGGAGGAAGGUGGGGAUGACGUCAAAUCAUCAUGCCCCUUAUGACCUGGGCUACACACGUGCUACAAUGGACGGUACAAAGAGCUGCAAGACCGCGAGGUGGAGCUAAUCUCAUAAAACCGUUCUCAGUUCGGAUUGUAGGCUGCAACUCGCCUACAUGAAGCUGGAAUCGCUAGUAAUCGCGGA